GUCUACAGUCAUGCUACCCUGAACAAGCCCCAUCCCGUCUGAUUUCUGAAACUAAGCAAAGUCGAGCCUGGUUAGUACUUGGAUGUGCGACCACCAGGUGCUGUACACC
rnacentral:rRNA from 1 species